rnacentral:rRNA from 1 species
AGUCGACGGGAUCCCGGGGGUUCGCUCCCGGGUGAGAGUGGCGAACGGGUGAGUAAUGCGUGACCGACCUGCCCCAUACACCGGAAUAGCUCCUGGAAACGGGUGGUAAUGCCGGAUGCUCCGGUUGGAUGCAUGUCCUUCCGGGAAAGAUUCCAUCGGUAUGGGAUGGGGUCGCGUCCUAUCAGCUUGAUGGCGGGGUAACGGCCCACCAUGGCUUCGACGGGUAGCCGGCCUGAGAGGGCGACCGGCCACAUUGGGACUGAGAUACGGCCCAGACUCCUACGGGAGGCAGCAGUGGGGAAUAUUGCACAAUGGGCGCAAGCCUGAUGCAGCGACGCCGCGUGCGGGAUGGAGGCCUUCGGGUUGUAAACCGCUUUUGAUCGGGAGCAAGCCCUUCGGGGUGAGUGUACCUUUCGAAUAAGCACCGGCUAACUACGUGCCAGCAGCCGCGGUAAUACGUAGGGUGCAAGCGUUAUCCGGAAUUAUUGGGCGUAAAGGGCUCGUAGGCGGUUCGUCGCGUCCGGUGUGAAAGCCCAUCGCUUAACGGUGGGUCUGCGCCGGGUACGGGCGGGCUGGAGUGCGGUAGGGGAGACUGGAAUUCCCGGUGUAACGGUGGAAUGUGUAGAUAUCGGGAAGAACACCAAUGGCGAAGGCAGGUCUCUGGGCCGUCACUGACGCUGAGGAGCGAAAGCGUGGGGAGCGAACAGGAUUAGAUACCCUGGUAGUCCACGCCGUAAACGGUGGAUGCUGGAUGUGGGGCCCGUUCCACGGGUUCCGUGUCGGAGCUAACGCGUUAAGCAUCCCGCCUGGGGAGUA